CCACCAUAUUCGGUAAAAAAAAACACUUAUCGCUUGGAUCGCGCCUCGCUCCCCGCCCCCGCUCCCCCCUCCUUACCCUCGAGCAAACUGGAAAACAGAGCAAUGGCGACGGAGGAUGCCGCAGCCGGCGGCUUGGAGUUUUUGUCAGAUCCCAUCGACGGGUACCUACGUCAUUUUGCGAUUUACAACUCCUCUUACUGUUCGCUUUCGCUCCGAGGGGUAGAUUCAUCUGGGAUCUGACUGGGCGGCUGACUGUGCGGCUGUCGCCUCUCCUCGAUCUCGGCAGCAGUGAGGCUGUGCUUGACGCUGCAACCACCCAAACACUCGUGGGCGCAGCCGCACAGUCGAGCGUUGCUGAUAUAGGCGAUGCGACGACGACGUACAACUAGAUGCGAACGGCAGCUGCGAUGGAGUCAGCUUAUUGUCAGUUAACAGCUGCUGGAGAAGUUUCAGUUUCGUCAGUCUUUAGUGUUCGUUUUCCUUUCGUCAGUUUCGACAGUAGUUUGCUUUCUUCAGAGAUAAGCCGAGCUGCGUCUCGGUCGUAGUCUGUUAGAUUCUUCCGCGGCUCUGACCCGAUCGUGGGAUGGCACGAAGUAGACGGUCAUGGCCGCAGCGCGAGCAAUGCGCGGGGAGCGCUGGGAUGGCGGUGCUCACGACCCGGGCAUGGCUUGUUUUUCGUUUUCAGUUAGCGUUGUAAUCUCUGAAUAAAAGGAACAGAAAAGCUGCAAAGUUCGGCGCGGCACAAAACUAUCAUCGUCUUCCUCUCUCUCGUGUGAGCUCUCUCGUUAGGUCUCACACUUAUCAGCACCAACCUCCGAGCAGACGGCCGGCAAAGACGAAACCCAAGCCCCUGGCUGGACAAAAAGAGUACGUAUUGGACGAGCACCUCUUGAGCGUCCUUCAUGCGCUGGCAGAAUAAGCGCUCUUGAAAAAACACUGGGAUGCUACGCAGAGAAGAAGAGGGAAACGGUUGUAAUCCCUGCUGUCGGAGACAGCUUUGAUUCUCUUGAAGAAGCAUACGACUACUAAAAUCUGUAUUCUUGGGAAAUUGGUUUCGGAGUACGAUACAGAAAAAGCAGAUUAAAUGUGGAGAGAACAAAAUGUAUGCAAGAAAUAGUUUGCGGCUGCUCGGGUAUACCGAAAAGAAGUAAUACAAGGUCUUGCCGGUGCGGAUGUCCAGCAAUGAUAAGGUUACUACGCUCAAAGGACAACGGAUGGUAUAUAAGCGAGCACAGGGCAUUCCACAAUCACUCUCUCACAGAUAAGUGUGGACAGAAAAUAUAUUGGCCCUCGCAUAGACAUAUCAACAUUUAUAUACGAGAUGUUAUCAAGCAGCUGCGUGCAAAUAAUAUUAGCAUUGGCAAAGUCUACAACAUAAUUGGCAGUUUCUUUGGCUCCAUGAGCAGUAUGCCUUUCAGCAAGAGAGCGUUGAGGGGGCUUUGUGGACAGAUUAGCCGAGAUCAGGCAGAUGAUGACGUCAGAAAGACAAUGGAAGUUUUUGCUGAAUUGGGAUCCAAAGAUUCAGGGUUGUACUACAGAGUACAGCCAGACACGGACAGCCGCAUACGAAAUCUGUUAUGGUCAACAGGAGCAAGCAGAGCACAGUACCACUACUUUGGAGAUGCAAUAACUUUUGAUACAACAUACCGUACAAACAUGUAUCAUAUGCCAUUCGGUUUGUUUGUCGGAGUAAACAAUCAUUUCCAAAGUGUCAUAUUUGGAGGAGUUUUACUUAGAGAUGAGACAAUGGAAACAUUUGAAUGGGUGUUCACUGAGUUUAUCCGUAUGAUGGGCGGCAAGCAUCCACAAACCAUACUGACAGACCAGUGCAGGGCUGUGGAAUUAGCAAUAGAAAAGGUGAUGUCCAACACAACACAUCGGUGGUGUAAGUGGCAUAUCUUAAAAAAAAAGCAAAAGAAUCUCUUGGAGCACAUUACGCGAAGAGGAGCAAGGUCCGAAUGGAGUUCCACAAGAUAAUACACCACAUGUUGACAGUUGAUGAGUUCGAGACAACAUGGAAGCAGCUGAUAGAAACACACGGUUUGCAGAAGCACCCUUACUUGACUCAGAUCUAUGAGACAAGAGAAAAAUGGGCAAAGCCAUAUUUCAAUGGGAAAUUCUGUGCAAAAAUGACCAGCACACAACGCAACGAGAGUGCAAACCAUAUGCUCAAAACUUAUGUUCCAGCAAGCUGCCCCAUGCACCUAUUUGUGCGGCAAUAUAUGAGGCUUCUUUUCGAUAGAGAAGCAGCUGAGAACUACGAGGAAAGACGCACUAUGAUAAAUGCACCAGUUAUGAGGAUGAACACGCCACUCGAGCAGCACGUAGCAAUGUGUACACACGAGCUAUGUUUGAGAAAUUUGGUGAAGUACUAUAUGAAGCAGGGCAAUACAAAAUAGAAGAGGUGAGCAUAUGGAAAUCAUAUCUAGCGCGACGACACCAUCCAGAGAAGCAUGAAAAAUGGUGCAGAGUACUCUACAAGGUUGAAGUUAUUGAGGACGGCGCAUCGAUAGUAUCGAUAGUGUGCGAGUGUGGUAAUUUUGAACACACGGGCUUGCUUUGCUGCCACGCAUUAAAUGUAAGGUCCUCGAUGUCCUAGGAAUGGAUCAGAUACCAGCAAAGCAAAUUCUGAAGCGCUGGACAAAGGAUGCAAGGGAUGUGUUGCCAGAUCAUCUGGUGCACCUUCAGAAGGAUAAGAUUAAUGUCAACUCUAUAACAUUCAGGCACUCAAAUUUAUACACUCAUGCCCUCGAAGUUGUCCGUCUUGGUGAUGCCAACACAUGGACUUAUGAAUGUGCAAUGGAAAUACUGAAGAAAGCAAUGGAUACACUGACGCCCAUGGCCAGUGUCCGCGACGGGAUGGGGCUUGAAGACAGAAUUCAUUCAGAUAAGGGGAAAGACAAAGAGCUGAUUCCAAUGCAUGCAGCAAAAAGUCAUGAAGACAGCGAUGCUGAGGGUAGUGCGGUUGGAAAUUUCAUCGGCUUAAAGCCUCCAGAACGAAAACUUAAACCAGGUAGACCUACUACCAGCAGGGACAAGCCUCCAUAUGAUGAUCCAGGCGCAAAGAGCAAAAAAUUCAAGGACGCAACGAACGGAAAAGCUCCAGAUGGUUCUGGUACAAGCAAACGUACUCAUCUCUGCAGUAUAUGCCGUGGAGCUGGGCACAAGAGUACUGCAUGUCCGCAGAGAGGUGAUCUCCCUCGCAAAGAAAGGAAAGAGGCCAAAUGUUCAAACUGCGGUGUUGGUGGACACAAGAAGAACACCUGCAACAAACCUAAAGUGGUGCUGCAUGUUGUUGAAAAUGCAACCUUGGAGCAGAUUUCCAUCUAGAAAAAUCUGAAUUCUGUUGUAGUCGGCUCCGUAGGCAUAAUAGUUCUGUUGCCUCUUGUAAUGUUGAGUGCUCAUCCAUUAAUCAGUAGAACUAUUUCAAAUAAUCCUGGUGGCAGUUUUCACGAUCAGCUGCUGUCAUGACUGUCUGUAUCUCUCUUUCCCGCACAUAACGUGACCACUUUCAUGUCUUAAAAAAUUUCCAUCAGCUCUGUCAAAUUGCGGGUGUUCA